AAAACAGGAUGAACACCGACCCAACAUUUUUGUCUCUCUCAAGACCGUGACCGUGAAGAAGGCAGAUAUUAUUAACCCUAGGUUAGUCAGUCAACUGUCACCAGACAUUGAAGAACCACCAACAGGUAGACAGAGUAAAAGGAUGUCCACAUCACUCAUUCUAUUUGAAGAGGUUGAUGUCAUAUUCGAUGAUGAUGUGGGAUUCCUCACAGCAAUCAAGACCUUCAUGACGACAACCAAGAGACCUGUGAUACUGACCACUAGUGAUCCCUCCUUCAGUGCAAAAUUUGACGGCGACUUUAAAGCGAUCCUUUUUAAAACACCUUCAGUGGUGAAGGUUUGCAGUUACCUGCAGCUGCUGUGUCUGGCUGAGAACGUAAGGACGGAUCCUGGGGACUCACCUCUCUGGUGAGCGUGAACCAGGGAGACAUCAGACGUAGCCUACUGCAGCUGCAGCUCUGGGUCUGCAGUGGAGGAGGACAAGUAUCUCAGAGGGCAACCCCACUGAAGGACCCUGCAGGUGGUGUGUAUGGAACUCUGGGUGUUGCUGAAGUGGAAGACAGUGCAGUGGGUGAAAAUACUUCUCCCCACCAUCCUCCCUGUGACGUGGGCUGCACUCAGAGCAUGCUGGGGCUCCUGAACUCUGACCACAGCCAUGACCUGCAGACCACU